CCCCUUUCAAUUGCAGCUGCACACACCUAUAUUCACCUCGUCAGGCGUCGCAAGGCGGUUUGACUAUGGUGAUAAACGGCUAACGCAAUAAACCUAUUGGACCCGGGGGCAGUACCCGGCGCCUCCACCAAAGACGGUUCGUCUUCGAACCGGCUAAGCCCGAAAGCAGAUUUCCUUAAAUCUGCGAAAGGGCGGCUCCGGCAGAACCGCCUUAUAUGGGGGCGAAACAGGAUCGACAAGGGCGUAAAGGUUGGUUUUUUGCCCGUGAUUGUACCGACGUUAUCGGGCUAUUUUGUAGUUGCAAAUGACAACUAUGCUCCGGUUGCUCUCGCUGCUUAAUGCAGUGCGAAAUGCCGAAAUCAAGCCCUAGCGCUUUGCAGCGUUAGGCGGGGUCCGCCAGCACCUGGCAACAGAAGCUGGCACU
rnacentral:tmRNA from 1 species